rnacentral:rRNA from 1 species
AUUGAACGCUGGCGGAAUGCUUUACACAUGCAAGUCGAACGGCAGCACGGGGCAACCUGGUGGCGAGUGGCGAACGGGUGAGUAAUACAUCGGAACGUGCCCAAUCGUGGGGGAUAACGUAGCGAAAGUUACGCUAAUACCGCAUACGAUCUACGGAUGAAAGCGGGGGAUCGCAAGACCUCGCGCGAGUGGAGCGGCCGAUGUCAGAUUAGGUAGUUGGUGGGGUAAAGGCUCACCAAGCCAACGAUCUGUAGCUGGUCUGAGAGGACGACCAGCCACACUGGAACUGAGACACGGUCCAGACUCCUACGGGAGGCAGCAGUGGGGAAUUUGGACAAUGGGCGCAAGCCUGAUCCAGCCAUUCCGCGUGCAGGAUGAAGGCCUUCGGGUUGUAAACUGCUUUUGUACGGAACGAAACGGCGAGCUCUAAUACAGUUUGCUAAUGACGGUACCGUAAGAAUAAGCACCGGCUAACUACGUG